GUGAAUCAUCGAAUUUUUGAACGCAAAUUGCGCUUCCUGGCAUCCCGGGAAGUAUGCCUGUUUGAGGGUCAGUAUUAACAAAAAAUCGGUUUGGUUGCAAAUUGUGACGUUUCCGGAGUUUGGGCUAUCUUACCUUUUUGUGUUAAGGGGUUUAAAAUUUACUUUUUUUGCGCAUUUUUUUACAUAAAUAAAUUUUUUUUUUAUUCGUCAAUUCUGAAUGCCAAAUUC
rnacentral:misc_RNA from 1 species